UAGGGAAUCUUCGGCAAUGGGGGGAACCCUGACCGAGCAACGCCGCGUGAGUGAAGAAGGUUUUCGGAUCGUAAAGCUCUGUUGUUAAGGAAGAACGAGUGUGAGAAUGGAAAGUUCAUACUGUGACGGUACUUAACCAGAAAGGGACGGCUAACUACGUGCCAGCAGCCGCGGUAAUACGUAGGUCCCGAGCGUUGUCCGGAUUUAUUGGGCGUAAAGCGAGCGCAGGCGGUUAGAUAAGUCUGAAGUUAAAGGCAGUGGCUCAACCAUUGUAGGCUUUGGAAACUGUUUAACUUGAGUGCAGAAGGGGAGAGUGGAAUUCCAUGUGUAGCGGUGAAAUGCGUAGAUAUAUGGAGGAACACCGGUGGCGAAAGCGGCUCUCUGGUCUGUAACUGACGCUGAGGCUCGAAAGCGUGGGGAGCGAACAGGAUUAGAUACCCUGGUAGUCCACGCCGUAACGAUGAGUGCUAGGUGUUAGGUCCUUUCCGGGACUUAGUGCCGCAGCUAACGCAUUAAGCACUCCGCCUGGGGAGUACGACCGCAAAGGUUG
rnacentral:rRNA from 1 species